rnacentral:lncRNA from 1 species
UCUCAUUCGGAAGCUAAAAUUACAUUUCAUCUCCUAACAAACAUUUUCAAUAUCAAACAUUUCAAUUGCAUAACAAUUCCAUGUGACUCUGAUAACUAGAGGGUGUAUACUUUCUCAGAUACAAUUUAUGUCGUCCUGUCAUCAGUCAUAAUGUCUCAGAUGACAACCGAACUGACAUACAUACUCAUUACGUUCCCAAGCAUAUUUCCAACUGGUUUUAUUAACCAAAUAUAUGGUACCUUUCCACAUUUGUUUGAUGUUCCCAGACUCUCUAUAUUUAACAGGACAGUAGUCCUUCAGUAGGGUCAGUAAGAGAGGAAGAGAGAAAGGUAUUUAUGGGGGGGGGGUCAUAAACCUUACCCACAGGCCAACGUCAUGACAAUAGCUUAGUAGAUGGAGAAAACACCUGUCUCCGGGAUUAUAUCUUCAAACUAAGGGCAACCAUGGCAUCCGACAGGAGAAGUGUACAUCCAUGAAUGAUGUAUACUGGCAGAGCAGGCAACAGAUGGCACACAGACAGCAGAGUUGGGGACAGAUAUGCAGGGACAGACUGGCAGAGACAG